rnacentral:rRNA from 1 species
UACGAAGGGGGCUAGCGUUGCUCGGAAUCACUGGGCGUAAAGGGCGCGUAGGCGGAUCUUUAAGUCGGGGGUGAAAGCCCAGGGCUCAACCCUGGAAUUGCCUUCGAUACUGAAGAUCUCGAGACCGGAAGAGGUAAGUGGAACUGCGAGUGUAGAGGUGAAAUUCGUAGAUAUGCGCAAGAACACCAGUGGCGAAGGCGGCUUACUGGUCCGGUUCUGACGCUGAGGCGCGAAAGCGUGGGGAGCAAACAGG